AUUGAACGCUGGCGGCAUGCCUUACACAUGCAAGUCGAACGGCAGCACGGGUGCUUGCACCUGGUGGCGAGUGGCGAACGGGUGAGUAAUACAUCGGAACAUGUCCUGUAGUGGGGGAUAGCCCGGCGAAAGCCGGAUUAAUACCGCAUACGAUCUACGGAUGAAAGCGGGGGACCUUCGGGCCUCGCGCUAUAGGGUUGGCCGAUGGCUGAUUAGCUAGUUGGUGGGGUAAAGGCCUACCAAGGCGACGAUCAGUAGCUGGUCUGAGAGGACGACCAGCCACACUGGGACUGAGACACGGCCCAGACUCCUACGGGAGGCAGCAGUGGGGAAUUUUGGACAAAGGGCGAAAGCCUGAUCCAGCAAUGCCGCGUGUGUGAAGAAGGCCUUCGGGUUGUAAAGCACUUUUAUCCGGAAAGAAAUCCUUGGCCCUAAUACGAUCGGGGGAUGACGGUACCGGAAGAAUAAGCACCGGCUAACUACGUG
rnacentral:rRNA from 1 species